UAUUUUUCAUUUCAGAUUGCUCAGAGAGGAGAGGUCAUUCAGGUCAAAGUACUGGGAACGAUGGCCCUGAUUGACGAGGGAGAAACUGACUGGAAGAUUCUGGCUAUUGAUGUUAGAGAUCCCCUCUCUGAUCUAAUGAAUGAUGUUGGUGAUAUUGAAAGGCUGAUGCCCGGGUUUCUCAAGGUAUUUUGUUUGGUUU